rnacentral:rRNA from 1 species
UACGUAGGGGCAAGCGUUGUCCGGAUUUAUUGGGCGUAAAGCGCGCGUAGGCGGCGCGGUAUGUCGUGCGUGAAAUCUCCCGGCUUAACUGGGAGGGCCGUGCGAAACUGCCGGGCUUGAGGUCGGAAGGGGAAAGUGGAAUUCCGGGUGUAGUGGUGGAAUACGUAGAUAUCCGGAGGAACACCAGCGGCGGAAGGCGGCUUUCUGGUCCGAUACUGACGCUGAGGUGCGAAAGCGUGGGGAGCGAUCCGG